AAAACUUUCAACAACGGAUCUCUUGGCUCUCGCAUCGAUGAAGAACGCAGCGAAAUGCGAUAAGUAAUGUGAAUUGCAGAAUUCAGUGAAUCAUCGAAUCUUUGAACGCACAUAGCGCCCUUUGGUAUUCCUUAGGGCAUACCUGUUCGAGCGUCAC
rnacentral:rRNA from 1 species